CAAUUUCCGUGUAGUGCCGGCGGCAAGUGUAACAAACUGCACAGUGUAAGAGGAAUCUCUUCAAGUUUUUACACAUCCUCGUCUUGCCCAAGCACGACCUGUCGCAGGGGCGUUAAAUCAAAAUCGUAUAGUAAACCAGUAACCGUGUUCAUUUUGUGUACGCCUUUUCCGCCGAUCUUAAUCUAUAAUCCAAAUCUUCUUAAAGCGAACAAACAUGAAUUGGGACUUUGCUUUGUUGAGAACGGUGUAGCUGUUUCACUUUCAACGCGUUUAUUUACUUUUAGCUGCAACACUGCUGUGAUCGUGUGCUGGGUUGAGCUUUUUGUGAACCAUAGAUUGAACACUUCAAGUUUGAAUCAUUUGGCUGCUAAAUUUGUUUUAUAAAUCGUCUGACGCGAACAACAACAAAAAAAAACGGACAUUUUAAUUCUCCAUACACUUGAUUUGGCACACAAUGUAAUUCUGUUAAGACACUAAUGUUUAGCUUCAACACUCCGUGCGUAAAUAUCGUUGUAGUUUGCUACUUCUAAUAUCAUCCCAACCAACAUAUUUGGAAAACAGCAGACUCACCCAAAAGAGGAAAUUAAAUAUGAAGAGCAGAUAUUUGACCACGGGGCUGACAAACGAGAAGUCUUCAUCGUAACGUCCAGAGUCUAAAAUGAAAUGAAAGAAAAAAAAAACUUCGAAAAAGAAGAGGUCCAAAGUGAGAGACCAUGCAGCCGUUACCAAGGCGACCAAGUGACGUCGGCCAAUGAAAAGCCCUCACGCAACCCAGGGGGUGUGGCUUGUGUCAUCCCGAUAUGGCCACCCGUUCGACACACUCUCACUUUGUCUGUGACAGGAAAACAAGGUGAUGUCACCUAAUACAACAAUGUGAAUAAUUGGUCUUUGAACGCCUCUCUGCACAAUUCCCAGCUGCGGAGAAGACAAAAAAAAAAAAACAACAACCCCUCAAUAGAGUUUUAGACUCGUCAGUCCUGUCAGCAAAGUAAAGGCUCAUUAAAGCUGCGCACACAAACACACACUCAUUUACAUGCAUGCUUGCACGACUCAUUGUGAUCUUAAAAUAAAAAAAAAAAUCAAUAAACGGACUCGUAUGUGUCUUGACUCAAAUUUCGGACGGCAGAUAGUUCGUUUUCAUUAACGGCGAACAAAUAGUGGUGAGAAA